CGGAGGAACUUCCUCCUCUUUCGGCUAUGGCGGCGAGUGGGGUGGUCUGCGCGGCCUUCAUCAGGGGCCAUCAUCAGGGGCCAUCCACUGCCAUCCACUGCCAUCCUCCUUCGCUGGGGCUCUCCCGCCGCAUCGAAGCCUCGUGGGCAUCGCUCCCGGCGGCAGCGCUUCGGUGCGCUCCGAAGGCUGCGAAGGGCAGCGCGACCUUACCCCCGCCUUCCUCUUCAGGCUGGGGCCGGCCCCAGCAUCCUGGCAUGGAAGGUGAUCCCAGGGCAUGGGAUGGCUCGUGAUGGCCUCAGCUUUGGUCAGGGCUCCUGGGUGUUCCAGAGCUCACCCAUCUGAUGGAUAAACCCAGGUGAGAAGGUAGUACCCUUGUUGGAUCUCCACAGCACAUCCCUCCAAAUCCCUUUCCCAUUAGAUCUGAAUACCGAUCUUGUGGUCGAAAAAGGAGGAAGAGUAAAAUUCAUGCUGGUCUUGGGCUCUCUGCAGGUGUGUCAUAUGCUGAGAGGGGCCACUGGGAAGACAGAUUGUGUCGGCCUUACUGUUUUGGGAAGUCUGGUUGGGAAGGAAAGUCCUGGUCAGGAGAAGGGAUAAACACUGGGCACAGGGGGCAGAGGUGCUGUGAGAAUCCGAGGGUUGGGAUUUGUUGGGAGUAUCUGAGCCAUGGAUUUACAGUGACCCGUCAGCUUCAGGCACUAAACUCUCUCUCUCUGUUUUUUUAGCAGUUAAUCUGUGGAAAAGGGUGAGAACUUGUUAGCCCUGUCCCAAGGGCUUCAGCUUGCUUCCCACAGGACCUGAGUUGCUGUGUGGAGCAUGUGAGUGUCCCAUAGGGAACAGUAAGUUUAAACUAGAUACUGGGAGGAAACUCUUGGCUGUGAGGAUGAGGAAGCCCUGGUUACCCAGAGAAGCUGUGGCUGCCUCAUCCCUGAAGUAUCCAGGGCCAGGCUGGAUGUGGCUUAGGCCAUCCUGGUCUGGUGGAAGGUGUCCCUGCCCAUGGCAUGAACAGGGUGGAGCUUUUAAGGUGCCUUCUAACCCAAACCAUUCUGGGAUUUCAUGAUCUGGAAUGGGGUCUGAAGGACAGGGUCCAGUUCAAGCUGACUGCCUGUGCUGGAUGUGGCCAGUUUUUCACCUGGAACUGUGCAGGUGGGAAUUAUCAACCUCGUUUCAGAGGCUUUUAAUUAACCAGAGUUGUGAUCUGUGAUGCAAGGUGUGAGUGAAAUCAGUGGCAGUGCAGCCUGGUCCAUGAUGAUUCCUGAGUCUGGAGACUGUUGAAUGAGUCCUGCGGAUAUGGGGCUGAGGCCAGGCACGAGUGGGUAGGGAAAAACCAGAAAUUCUGGAAUGUGAAUGGAAUCUUGACACAGCGCUGAGCCCAACUGCUUAUCACUCAGCUGGAUUAUGUUUUAUCCCUUUUUUCAGGCCUAAGCACAGGGUGAGCCAUCCUUGAGGGACUUGGUGCUGCAGUGUCAGACUGUUUUUUCCCAGCUCUCUCCUCCAGAAGUGGGAGCUCUGCAGAGCCAGAUCCUGGCUCCUUCCCAAGCAUUGAGCUCCACCGAGUGGGAUCACCCCAAUUUCUGGGCUCCACUCACCCGCCGUGGAGGGAGAUGGAAUUGGUUUGGCUUCAAGUGUUGCCCAAGCUCCAGAUCAGAUGCUCCACAUGGAAGAACAGUCUGUUCCAUGGAGUUUUCUCAGGAGGGGGUCUGCAUGUCAAACACUUGGUUAGAGCAGGGAGCCAGUAAUGCCAAGGUGGUGGGUUUGAUUCCUGUACAGGCCAUUCACUUAAAAGCUGGACUUGGGGAUCCCUGUGAGUUCCUUCCAGCUUAGCAUAUUCUCUGUGUGUGAUACAAGUUGGAAUAAAUGCAAUUACUUCAAA